rnacentral:rRNA from 1 species
CGGGUGAGUAACACGUAUCCAACCUGCCGUCUACUCUUGGACAGCCUUCUGAAAGGAAGAUUAAUACAAGAUGGCAUCAUGAGUCCGCAUGUUCACAUGAUUAAAGGUAUUCCGGUAGACGAUGGGGAUGCGUUCCAUUAGAUAGUAGGCGGGGUAACGGCCCACCUAGUCUUCGAUGGAUAGGGGUUCUGAGAGGAAGGUCUCCCACAUUGGAACUGAGACACGGUCCAA